AUGACGAUCAUUAAAAUGCCAAAUCUGGUGGCUGGCAACGAUCCCAAUGACGAUCCUGUGGGGCAUAGACCGGCCCCCCCUGACGCACCGGCCUGUCGGGAUCUGGCCCAUGGUUGUUGCGCGCCUGUCGCCUCGCAGGAGAGAUCUGCAGCGCCCCGGUCGGGACAAAGUGGAGAUACCGCCCCACCCGAGCCAGAGGUGGGGCUGGAUUCCCCUGACCAGUCCGACGCCACCAAUCCCUCUCGCGAUGCCUCGGGCGAGGAAACGCCCCCUCUCGGCGCCAACCCUCCCGCCCUUGCUGCUGGGCCGUCUCCACCUGCUGCCGCGCGGCCGGCCCGCGGCCCAACAGGCCCGAUUGCGAUUCUGCAGCGGCCCACGCCCACACCUCCCCUCCUGCUGCCCACCGAAGACCAGCUACUCCCAAACGCUGGGGCCGCGACAAACCAAGGCCCAAGUGGCCGCACGUCGAGCCGCUUCGCAUCGCCUCCAAUUACGCUGCGGCGAUCCCGAAGCCGCACUACGCCACAGCCAUGGACCCUUGGAGAGUUUCUGGCCACCGCCACGAAACACCUCAACGCCGCCCUGCCGGCCCCUGGAAAGAAGCCACGCCGUCCCCUCAACUUCGCCCCUCGCCGUGGACGAUCUGCAGCUACGACUUGCCAACCGAGCGCCCCUCCCACGGCGGAGCGGCGCGCCCACGUACAAAUCCUGCGCACCCUUGGAAUCAUAGGGAUCGAUCAGAAGAUCACUGCCGCUGAGAUGAAAGCCUAUGACGGCAUGUUCGCGGCACCGCUACCCCUGACGGUACUCAAGGCCAUUGCCACACUGGUUGACCGCGAGAUCCCAGUCCGCAUGGCAUCGGCUGUGACCGGCAGCGUCGACGUUGCAUGUGAAGGCUAG
rnacentral:rRNA from 1 species